UACGUAGGUGGCAAGCGUUGUCCGGAUUUAUUGGGCGUAAAGCGCGCGCAGGCGGUCCUUUAAGUCUGAUGUGAAAUCUUGCGGCUCAACCGCAAGCGGUCAUUGGAAACUGGGGGACUUGAGUACAGAAGAGGGAAAGUGGAAUUCCACGUGUAGCGGUGAAAUGCGUAGAGAUGUGGAGGAACACCAGUGGCGAAGGCGACUUCUGGUCUGUAACUGACGCUGAGGCGCGAAAGCGUGGGGAGCAAACAGGG
rnacentral:rRNA from 1 species